rnacentral:rRNA from 1 species
UAAGAGACAGCAGUCGCCGCGGGAAUACGUAGGUCCCGAGCGUUGUCCGGAUUUAUUGGGCGUAAAGCGAGCGCAGGCGGUUAGAUAAGUCUGAAGUUAAAGGCUGUGGCUUAACCAUAGUACGCUUUGGAAACUGUUUAACUUGAGUGCAAGAGGGGAGAGUGGAAUUCCAUGUGUAGCGGUGAAAUGCGUAGAUAUAUGGAGGAACACCGGUGGCGAAAGCGGCUCUCUGGCUUGUAACUGACGCUGAGGCUCGAAAGCGUGGGGAGCAAACAGGAUUAGAUACCCGUGUAGUCCCUGUCUCUUAUACA